GCUCACUAUAUUCAGCGGCUCCGGUGCGCUCGAAACUUUAUUCACUCCAGAUUCCAACACAGAGACGGACCUGUCGAGCUCUCUAAUCCCCACUGCAAGCUAAGCACUCACUGGAUAGAACACACGGACAACUUUUUACAGAGCUAUUUCCGCCUCUCUAUUUUUGGUUUUCAUUACGGGACUUAAACCUGGGAUUGUACCAUUUAAAAAAGACGCACUUUUUGUUGUUGAAAUAUUUAAAUGUCAUGGUUUUUCAUGUUCAUUGUAUAAAUAAUAAUUUUGGGUAUAGUACUCGAAAUAUUUGAGAACAAGGGAAACUGUUACACAUGUUUUCCAACCUCUGAAGAAGACUUAACAAGUUAUUCGUUCGUGGGGGUCGAUAACAAGUGCAAUGAUUGCCAAGGUCUUCUGUUGGGAUUGCCUUACUGCUCAACUCGUCUAAGGAGCCAGCCAUGUCCUUUUGUCUGCUCUACUUCUGUCACGGAGAGAGGGCUCGGAGUGGCGGACGCGCACGAAUGUGAAUUACAUUGCAGUCAACUACCCUACUUCAAAGCACUUCAGAUAUCCGCACAGUUCCACAAACAAGUGUUUAGGAGUUGUACCGCGGGCGACUGAACGAGACGACUCACAUGUUCCUCUCCCCAAGGGAUGGUUCUUGAUCAUCCGCGGGCAGGAGCGACUUUGCGGCUCCUACAGCAGGAGACGUUUUCUUGUUUUGGGCGAAAUCGGAAUUAAAGGGAAAUGAGACCCGUACUUUGCUACUUCCUGCUCUGUACAUCGUACCUGCUGAAUGCUGUUGCUGAGGAAGUCCCGCAGGAGUUGAUAGAGAGACUGUCCCACAGCGAAAUCCACAGUAUCAGCGACCUCCAGCGGCUAUUGGACUCCGAGAUAGACGCCCCCGUAGGUGCGGAAAAUGAGGUCAUCGAGGAGACCAAGCCGAUGCAGAAGCAUCAUAAGAACUACUCCCAACAGCAUGGCUACUCAGACCUGAAGAGCUCACAGAUACACAGCCGACGCAAGAGGAGCGUUGAGGAGGCCGUGCCUGCGGUGUGUAAGACGCGGACGGUGAUAUAUGAGAUCCCGCGCAGCCAGGUGGACCCCACGGCUGCCAACUUCCUGAUAUGGCCGCCGUGCGUAGAGGUCAAGAGGUGCACGGGAUGCUGCAACACCAGCAACAUGCGCUGCCACCCCUCACGCAGGCACCACCGCACCGUUAAGGUGGCCAAGGUGGAGUAUGUGCGGAGGAAACCCAAGCUGAAGGAGGUCUUGGUCCGGUUAGAAGACCACCUGGAGUGUGUGUGCCAGUCACAACAUCACGUGACCGAGCACUCAGACGCAGACACAGACCACCAUACUAGGACUAAAGGUAGGAAAAGGAAACCUAAAAAGCUAAAGCUCAACAAGGAUUUAUUGGCGACAUAAUAAACUUGAACACAUUAUUCCAAAGUUCGACCGCCGGACCCCCCGGCUCCAACAGUGGACGUAAGGUGAGACCCCAGCAGCAUUGGACUUCAGUGUGGAAGGGGCCAAAGAGAGGAUGCUGCCAUAUUUGGACUGCUGACCUAGCCCCUUCCCUGACCCCACCCCACGCCACCUACCGCCUUUUAAAAACAAAGAUUACUGUAAAGAGAAAAAAAGACAAAAAGUUAAGAAAAUGCCAAAGGUGCUUUUUUCUAUUACCGUAAAAAGUAAUUCAGAAGGUCUCUGCCAAGCGCAGCAGAACCAACCAAUCGAACAAUGACGCGGAUGAGGAUGGUGAAGCCGAUAAAGAGCUGGGCAGAAAAGAGAGGAGGAGGAGGACAAGAUGGGUUGUCGUUUGUUGAGUAAACAGGACAAUUUGACGAUCACAGAGAGAGAUCCAGGAUGGAUCAUUGGAUUAAGCCUCAAUGGGGGAUCUAUCGACUGGAUCCUAAAAGGACACAGAGAGAGAUCCAGGAUGGAUCUUUGGAUUAAGCCUCAAUGGGGGAUCUGUCGACUGGAUCCUAAAAGGACACAGAGAGGGACAGUGGACUCUUCGGGACGUGUGGAGGCUUGCAUGCUCCUAGCCGUUGGCCUAAGUGACACUUGCCUGGACAGUCAAUGACUGACAGAGAGAGAGGGAGAGAGGGAAAGAGAUUAGAGUAGUUGUAGAGAGGUGUAGAAGGUACUGGUCGUGUUGCUUGUUGUUCCAGAACUCUCUGUACACUGUAGUGGAACUUGUGAACAUUCUGGAACUCAUAAAAUGGUCACCCAUUUAGUCUAUUUUGGAUAAAGAGUUGGGAAAAGUGUUUGGAGUCAUCAGGAUCUGUUAUUCCAAGAUGUCUUCUCUGCUUCUCUCUCCUGGGUUCCCCUGUCUGCUCCUAUUGGGAUUGUGCCAGUCACCAUAUACACUACAGAACCAUUCAGAAAGGAAGAUUCAUUCAUUGCUACUAAUAAACUAUUUAUACGUGUGAACGUUUUCCUCUCUCUCUCCCUCCAAGACAUGAUGCUUUCUGUGACAUGUAGGAUUCAUGUUCUGUCUGAUCUUCUGGUAGUGAAUCUUCAUGUCUACAUGUUGUUUGUAGUUGUUCAUGUAGUUGUUACUCAUGUUCAAUGUUGCCUUACUAUGUGCCAGUAUAUUAUCUGAACAGUCUCUAGUUGUAUGGUCUGGAAAUGGAAGGAAGCGUGAGAAGGAGGAGAUGGGAGGACAGAGUCUGUACAAGUACAGGAAGAUGCUUUAUUUUUGUUAAAAAUAUAUAUUAUGCUUACUUAUA